AAGUAAAGCUGUGUGAAGUCAUCAUGUGUUUAUUCACUGGCAUCUUAAGCGUGAGUAACUUCGAUUUUCAUCAGGUGCAAUCCCAACAUUCCCGAUUGAACAGAAUCAGAAUGGCCUUUCGUGUUGAUUAUGUCUACAAACCCAAUGAUAUCGAUAAAACUGACAAUGACCUGAGCAUUUUAAGGGCUAAAUUAUCAUGCGGUCACGUCACGUCUGCCAAGACUUUAGUGGAAUGCUGCACAGAUCAGCUGAAGAAUGGACAAGUGGAACUGAAAUGUCCAAUAUGUACAAAAGUGUGGCCAUUUGGUGAAGUGAAAACGUUACUUACACAUCAGCAACAACUUUAUUUUAAAGACACACUUUGGGAAAAUGCUGCAAAGAAGAUGAUUGAAAUCAAAGGGUGUCCUGGUUGUGGUUCAUUCGUUGAAAGAAAACACUCUUCUAACCUCUGCGUUCAGUGUCCAUUCUGCCCAGUAAAGAUGGGGAAAACAUAUGAGUUCUGCUGGCAGUGUGGGAGAAACUGGAAAGGGCCUCGACCUCGCACUGAUAAAUGUGAUAACCUGGGUUGUUCCAGCAGUGACUUAAAUAUGCUAAGAAACUGUAAAAUGAUUAGUCUGGUAUAUUCUGGAGACAAAAUCAUUCAGUGUCCAUCGAUUCGUGCCUGUCCGGAUUGUGGCAUGCUGAUUGAACACACUGGAGGGUGUAAGCGAAUGGUAUGCUGCAGUUGUAAAAGGUCAUUCUGCUUUGUCUGUCUAAAAUCUUCUAAUGGCUGUUGUACAUCCGGUGCUGCACCAAGACAAACAUCAAUUCCUUAGAAUCUCAAAUCUCAAUUAUUGACCAAAUGUUAUGUCUUUUUGAUUAGAAUUAUUUGUAAUGGAUUAUGCAUUGUGGAAGUGAUCAAUAAUGUGAACAAAGUUUACAGUAGGGAUGCACCGAUGCCAUUUUUUAAGGACUGAGUACGAGUACCGAUACUUUUUUCUAGUACUCGCCGAUACCGAUGCCUAUACAUUUAUUAAUUUCUCUCUCUUUUUUUCUUUUUUUUGGUGAUGAUGCAAUUUUCCAAGCACAACACAGUGAGACUAAUGAAUGUAGGACAGCUUCUUUAUUAUUACUCUAAUGAAAAAAGUAAUAAUUUUUAUGUGCUUGUCACAAACUUAAAGAGCAAAAAUUUCACAGUGUCCAAUAACCUUCAAAGGGCAUAAUUACCAAUAUAUAUAAUUGUUGUUAUAUAAAAAGAAAUUUACAAACAAAUUACAAACAAUACAACAAAUACUAUAGAAAUACAAAUUAAAUAAACUUGUUUUUCAGAUACAGUAGGUUUAUUUACCAUGUAUACAUUUAUUUAACAUCUUUUGUUGUUUUAUUAACAUUAAUGACAAAUAUAGGCUACGGUCCCUUUAAGACCGAGUCCAUGGAUACUGAAAAUAUCCUGUUUUCACCAUAAUGUUUACGUCCACUUAAGCCAUAACCAACUGUAUUUACGUGAGAUACUCCACACGAUGGACAUUUUGACAACUAUGUGUGCAUUUGACCAUUCAGGCGCGAGGAGAACUGAUCGCGCGCAAGAAAGAGAGAGCGCGUGCGCGAGAGAGAGCGCUUCAUUCAGCGCGAUUCCGCCUUCGCUAAUCAUAACGAAUUGUGAUUGAAAGCAUGCAGUUCGCAAUGUGUGGGCUGUCAUCAUUCAUUUUGAAGUAUUUCCACACCUCUGAGGCUGACAUUGUUUCUGCUGCUGCCGCCGGUGUCUCUGUGCACGGGAAAUUCUGUCACGUGAGGUAUCGGUCUUUGGUAUCGGGCCCGAUAUUGAUACUGGUAUCGGUGCAUCCCUAGUUUACAGUUUUUCUCAAUCACUGUCUCAAUUCUUGAAUGAGAUUUUUUCUCUCUCAAAACAAGAAGUUUAGAUCUCUGAACAAUUAGUUUCUUGUUCACAUCAGAUUUAAGUUUCUGAAUGAUUCAGUUUUAUUUUGCUAGGACACAUUUCUCAAUACAUGGGUCACGUUUUUAAAACUCUUCACACAGUGAUCACAUCAGAAAUAUAUGUGGGCUAAACUGUAGAUCAUUUAUCAUCACUUAGGCACAAAAUACAUUAAAUUUACAUUAAUUGUUUUCUCACUUAGACACAAACACAACCAAAACUCUAUAUAUAUCAUACAGGCCAAUUUGCACAUGUUUUCAUUCUCUUUUCAAAACUGUUAAACUUAAGUUCAGAACCUAACAUAAUACAACAUUGAAUAAGACAGAAAUUUGCCACAUUUCUACGGUAAUACCAUAUUGAAAUGUAUUCUAAAUCAUAAAAUUAAAUACUAUCAAAACAAUUAGAUGUAUCUGAACACCUGCGCAGGUCUUAGUCUUUCAGUUUCAUCACCAUCUAUUCAAAAAGGGGAAACUUAGGAAUUAAAUUUUGUACAGUAAUGUAAACAUGGACCAUGUAACAUAAGCUGCAUUGAAUUAUAAACAGUUGUAGUAGAGUGUCAUGUAAAAAAUGGCAUGUAAAGAAACUUUACAAAAGAAAUCAUUGUGUAAUGCUCCUGUUAUUAGUGUUUUUAAGCUCAUUGUUUUAUGUCUGCUAAACUGGCAAAUGUAAUUCAGUGUGAUUCACAAUCUUACCAGUCAACCUUGCUUGUAGAACAGAAAUAAUAAGAUGUGUAAGAAUGUGUGGUGUUAGAGAAAACAUGACACACAUUGUUGGUUUUUUGUUUUUCUUGCAUGGAUGCCAUUUUCUGUUCACUAUAGACAUAUGUAAGACUAUAAAAAUGGACAUGUAAAUGUGAAUUUUGUGUCUAUAUGUAACACACUGCUACAAAAAUAAAUGUACUGUAUAAAUACAAAUGUGCAUAUUCUUGUGUACUAACUCAUUGACUUUUCCCUGUAAGUUUUACCUACUGCUGAAAUCUGUAUCUAAAAAUCUCAGUGUGAGACACAAGAGCAUUGAGUUAUAGACAAAACUGAUAUUCUUUUAUAAUAUAGUAAGCAUACGUCACCAAAAAGUAGAACAACAAUAUAUAUGUAUAUAACAAACAUUUACAGAGUCGACUGCUGUGAUGGAAAAAAAAGAAACAUUUUGACCAGUGUGGCUCGCUACAUGACAAAAACACUUUUUAUGUUGGUGGCAUUGGCCAAUUUACUGACACAAAAACUCAGUUUUGAAUUAAGCAUGAAUUAAAAGUUUUAGGUGAGUAACUACCUUGCAAUAGAGUUCAGAUGUUCCAGCGAACAGUUGUGAAAAUUGCACUUACAGUUUAGAGAAUGUUAAGUCUGUUAUGUACAGUAUGUCACUGUUAUUUUCACUCCUGCAGCUUCAAAGAAAUCCCUUUUUUUCUGUUCAAAAUCGUGUUUGUAACAAAUAUUCUGUUUGUUUGAUGUGAAAGGGACUUUAUUACCCAUCUAUAUGUGCAGUGACCCUUCCUUCUAAGUGGACAAGUGAACCCAAACCAUGCCGGCAAAAUGCCUCCCACAAGUAACCGGGUAACUUAAUAACUCCAUAUGUGAAAGUGUGUAUUAUUAAUUAAGCAGAUAUCAGUUUGGGGCUAAAUGAAAAUACACCAUGUGGAUUUGAUAAUAAUUGACAAAUUCCAGAGUUUUGUUUGUUGUGUUUGGAUAAAUGGUACAUAAAUGUUUGUGAUUUGUGCAAAACCAAUAAAAAUAGCUGUGAUUGUUUUUUUUGUUUUUUUUUCUGAUAUAUUAAAGUUUUGGUUGGAUGUAUGAACUAUUAUGAAAACAUCUGAGAAUUUUAGUGUUUUCAGAAAAUGGUUCACAUGAUUUGAAAUCAAUGAAAACUUACAAUUCGUUUAGGACAAUAACAAAGUGUUCAGACUACUGAGUUAACUGUUUUGAGAACAGUGAUCUGAAUUUGGAGAAAUGUGUCAAAUCAAUCACUUCAGUUGUUCGAA